UACGGAGGGCGCAAGCGUUGUUCGGAAUCACUGGGCGUAAAGCGCGUGUAGGCGGUUCGGCAAGUCGGCUGUGAAAGCCCGAGGCUCAACCUCGGAACUGCAGCCGAAACUGCCGGGCUCGAGUCCCGGAGAGGGUGGCGGAAUUUCCGGUGUAGAGGUGAAAUUCGUAGAUAUCGGAAGGAACACCAGAGGCGACGGCGGCCACCUGGACGGUGACUGACGCUGAGACGCGAAAGCGUGGGGAGCAAACAGG
rnacentral:rRNA from 1 species